rnacentral:rRNA from 1 species
UACGGGGGGGGCAAGCGUUGUUCGGAAUUACUGGGCGUAAAGGGCUCGUAGGCGGCCAACUAAGUCAGACGUGAAAUCCCUCGGCUUAACCGGGGAACUGCGUCUGAUACUGGAUGGCUUGAGUUUGGGAGAGGGAUGCGGAAUUCCAGGUGUAGCGGUGAAAUGCGUAGAUAUCUGGAGGAACACCGGUGGCGAAGGCGGCAUCCUGGACCGGUAUUGACGCUGAGGUGCGAAAGCGUGGGGAGCAAACAGG